rnacentral:rRNA from 1 species
UACGGAGGAUCCAAGCGUUAUCCGGAUUCACUGGGUUUAAAGGGUGCGUAGGUGGAAUGACAAGUCAGUGGUGAAAACCUGCAGCUUAACUGUAGAACUGCCAUUGAUACUGUUAUUCUUGAGUACAUUUGAUGUGAGUGGAAUGUGUCGUGUAGCGGUGAAAUGCGCAGAUAUCGGGAGGAACACCGGUGGCGAAGGCGGUUCUCUGGGCCUGUACUGACGCUGAGGAGCGAAAGCGUGGGGAGCAAACAGG